rnacentral:rRNA from 1 species
AAGCGCCUGUGAUCAGACUUGCGCUGUGCAAAUCACCUAGCGUUCUCGCUGGGUUACUUUGCCAGCUCAGGCCAGCAUCGGUCUCUCUAGGGGGAUAAAAGCUCUGGGAAUGUGGCUCCUCCGGGAGUGUUAUAGCCCACUGCACAAUGCCCUUGGGGAGACCGAGGUACGCGCUCCGCAAGGAUGCUGGCGUAAUGGU